rnacentral:rRNA from 1 species
CAGAAAGGGACGGCUAANUACGUGCCAGCAGCCGCGGUAACACGUAGGUCCCGAGCGUUNUCCGGAUUUAUUGGGCGUAAAGGGAGCGCAGGCGNUCAGGAAAGUCUGGAGUAAAAGGCUAUGGNUCAACCAUAGUGUGCUCUGGAAACUNUCUGACUUGAGUGCAGAAGGGGAGAGUGGAAUUCCAUGUGUAGCGGUGAAAUGCGUAGAUAUAUGGAGGAACACCAGUGGCGAAAGCGGCUCUCUGGUCUGUCACUGACGCUGAGGCUCGAAAGCGUGGGUAGCGAACAGGAUUAGAUACCCUGGUAGUCCACGCCGUAAACGAUGAGUGCUAGGUGUUAGGCCCUUUCCGGGGCUUAGUGCCGGAGCUAACGCAAUAAGCACUCCGCCUGGGGAGUACGACCGCAAGGUUGAAACUCAAAGGAAUUGACGGGGGCCCGCACAAGCGGUGGAGCAUGUGGUUUAAUUCGAAGCAACGCGAAGAACCUUACCAGGUCUUGACAUCCCGAUGCUAUUCUUAGAGAUAGGAAGUUACUUCGGUACAUCGGAGACAGGUGGUGCAUGGUUGUCGUCAGCUCGUGUCGUGAGAUGUUGGGUUAAGUCCCGCAACGAGCGCAACCCUUAUUGUUAGUUGCCAUCAUUAAGUUGGGCACUCUAGCGAGACUGCCGGUAAUAAACCGGAGGAAGGUGGGGAUGACGUCAAAUCAUCAUGCCCCUUAUGACCUGGGCUACACACGUGCUACAAUGGUCGGUACAACGAGUUGCGAGCCGGUGACGGCAAGCUAAUCUCUGAAAGCCGAUCUCAGUUCGGAUUGGAGGCUGCAACUCGCCUCCAUGAAGUCGGAAUCGCUAGUAAUCGCGGUUCAGCACGCCGCGGUGAAUACGUUCCCGGGCCUUGUACACACCGCCCGUCACACCACGAGAGUUUGUAACACCCGAAGUCGGUGAGGUAACCUUUUAGGGGCCA